rnacentral:rRNA from 1 species
AGUGAACGCUGGCGGUAGGCCUAACACAUGCAAGUCGAACGGCAGCACAGUAAGAGCUUGCUCUUACGGGUGGCGAGUGGCGGACGGGUGAGGAAUACAUCGGAAUCUACUUUUUCGCGGGGGAUAACGUAGGGAAACUUACGCUAAUACCGCAUACGACCUACGGGUGAAAGCAGGGGAUCCUCGGACCUUGCGCGAUUGAAUGAGCCGAUGUCGGAUUAGCUAGUUGGCGGGGUAAAGGCCCACCAAGGCGACGAUCCGUAGCUGGUCUGAGAGGAUGAUCAGCCACACUGGAACUGAGACACGGUCCAGACUCCUACGGGAGGCAGCAGUGGGGAAUAUUGGACAAUGGGCGCAAGCCUGAUCCAGCCAUACCGCGUGGGUGAAGAAGGCCUUCGGGUUGUAAAGCCCUUUUGUUGGGAAAGAAAAGCAGCAGGUUAAUACCCCGCUGUUCUGACGGUACCCAAAGAAUAAGCACCGGCUAACUUCGUG